GAGAAUACGUACGACCUGUUGCUAGAUUGAUCCCACUUCCCGGGAUCACAGAUUGAAGAAAAUGUACGUAUUUGCUGCACAAAUACGGGGGCGGCUGUCACAAAGUCCAAGGCUGAGAUCUCCAAAGAGGAAACUCUAAAGAUGGAGAUGUGAGCACCUCCCACUGUUCCUCCCACUUUACAAAUAGAGGCCCAGUUGAGGCCUUC
rnacentral:misc_RNA from 1 species